GCAGCAGGCCGUUCUAUCGCUGCUUUUCCUUUAUUGGAAGAGGAGAGGAAAGUCCGGGCAACACAGAGCAUCCCACUUCCUAACAGGAAGGCCUUAUUGCUUGCAAUAGGGACAGAAAGUGCCGCAGAGAACUAUACCGCCUUUUCGCUUGCGAAAAGGUAAGGGUGAAAACGUGAGGUAAGAGCUCACGGCUAACAUUGGCAACAGUGGUAGCGGGUAAACCUUGGGAGUUGAAAGACCAAAUAAACCGAAGCGUGAGGGCUGCUCGCUCAAUUUCGGAGGGUAGGUUGCUUGAUCCUUCUGGUGACGGAAGGGCUAGAUAAAUGAUAGGACACGACAGAACCCGGCUUAUAGGCCUGCUUUUUUU
rnacentral:RNase_P_RNA from 1 species